GACAACUGCCCAGCUACGCUGGGCGACGAAGGCGAGUAGAAGGGGCUGGAGGCCGAACAGGACGAGUGGAUCGUGGAGACGGCGGCCACCCAGUGGCAGCAGUUCUUCAGCUGCCGCGGCCACGACCCACGAGCUGAUUGGACCUCCCACCGGACGCCGCAGCUACAGGCUGAUGGUGCCGCUCCUCGGAUUUCCUGCGCCUACGAUCCGCUGCUUGCGGAGAUCCAGGUGCCUAGGUCAUGCCACCCCCUUCACCCACUGACCAGGCCAACCGUGGACCGAACGUCGUACACAGCAACGUCGAGUCUACGAUGCAUCGGCGGGCCCAACGACGUGUCGUCGGAAGCAGCGACGACGAGGGUUGCCUCGACCGGACGCAACACUUCUGUGCCGCCUAUGGCUCGGCGUGGCAUUCACGAACUCCUAUUCCUUCCGCAUUGGAAUGGCCGACAGCCCUGCUUGCGACACCUGCGGCUGCGAGGAGACGAUCAUGCACCUCCUCCUUGACUAACCACGUUGCAAUGUGCGAAGAAAAGUGCUCGUGACCCCGCUGGAAAAACUGGACAAUCGCCCCUUCACAGAAGAGAAGUUCAAGGACACUGGCCGAAACGGGUUUCGGCAUUCAAGGCUUUAAGGGCUUUGCUCAAGUUUUUAAGGACAUGUGAAUUGUGCGACCGCCUUUGACUAUUGUUGCGCGUUACAUCGCAUUACUGAGUGAAUUCUUCUUGUUUUCU